GCCUCGGUGGCUCAGACCGGUAGAGCGGCAGCCUCGUAAGCUGUAUGCCGCGGGUUCAAAUCCCGCCCGGGGCUCCA
rnacentral:tRNA from 3 species